rnacentral:rRNA from 1 species
ACUACGGGGGGCUGCAGUGGGGAAUAUUGCGCAAUGGGCGAAAGCCUGACGCAGCGACGCCGCGUGAGGGAUGAAGGUCUUCGGAUCGUAAACCUCUGUCAGCGGGGAAGAACGGUCACUGUGCUAAUCAGCAGUGAAUUGACGGUACCUGCAAAGGAAGCACCGGCUCACUCCGUGCCAGCAGCCGCGGUAAUACGGCGGGUGCGAGCGUUCAUCGGAAUUACUGGGCGUAGAGCGCUCGUAGGCGGUAUGUCAAGUCAAGGGUGAAAUCCGCGGGCUUAACGUGGGAACUGCCUUUGAAACAGGGAAAAUGGAGUGUGUGAGAGGAGAGUGGAA